GUUCUAUGGCCGAACUGGUAAAGGCAUUGCCGAUCACAGGCAAGUUUGUGGGUUCGAGUCCCGCUGGAAACU
rnacentral:tRNA from 1 species